AAGAAAGGCUUCUUCCCUCCCUCCAAUCCACUGUGUGUCUCUAUCAGGCGUGCAAAGGACAGAUCAGUACCAGCAAAAUGAAGCAGAAAAUGACACAAUUCCCUGGACAUCAACAAGCCAUCACCUGAAUGAUUUGAAUGAAACACACCACUACAGGGCCUGGGAUCUCAUGUUCCAGCAGCUGCAAAAGUGCAAGAGAAUUAACCUUCAGUCAGACAAACUUUGACCCAUACGAAAAAGGAGAUGGGAAGGAUACAGCAAUGUCCCGACCUUCCACACUCUAAUCAACUACUCUGAGACAUGAGUCUGUAGACUCUUCCUGGAAAAGCCCACACAAUCUUGCAUCACCCCUGUGGUGUGUCCUGCCCCAGUUCUCUAUGGCGAUUACAAAGCACUCAUCAGUACAGAACUCUGCAUUGCUUCUCAUCUUCUCUCCCUCACUUUACGUUUGUUUUUUAUUUUUUUAUACUUUUG
rnacentral:lncRNA from 1 species